UAGGGAAUCUUCGGCAAUGGGGGGAACCCUGACCGAGCAACGCCGCGUGAGUGAAGAAGGUUUUUGGAUCGUAAAGCUCUGUUGUUAAGGAAGAACGAGUGUGAGAAUGGAAAGUUCAUGCUGUGACGGUACUUAACCAGAAAGGGACGGCUAACUACGUGCCAGCAGCCGCGGUAAUACGUAGGUCCCGAGCGUUGUCCGGAUUUAUUGGGCGUAAAGCGAGCGCAGGCGGUUAGAAAAGUCUGAAGUGAAAGGCAGUGGCUCAACCAUUGUAAGCUUUAGAAACUGUUUAACUUGAGUGCAGAAGGGGAGAGUGGAAUUCCAUGUGUAGCGGUGAAAUGCGUAGAUAUAUGGAGGAACACCGGUGGCGAAAGCGGCUCUCUGGUCUGUAACUGACGCUGAUGUGCGAAAGCGUGGGGAUCAAACAGG
rnacentral:rRNA from 1 species